rnacentral:rRNA from 1 species
GACGGAGGAUGCAAGCGUUAUCCGGAUUUAUUGGGUUUAAAGGGAGCGUAGGCGGGAUAAUAAGUCAGGGGUGAAAUCUUGGGGCUCAACCCCGAAACUGCCAUUGAUACUGUUAACCUAGAGUAUAUUUGAUGUGGGCGGAAUGUGUCAUGUAGCGGUGAAAUGCUUAGAUAUGACACAGAACACCGAUUGCGUAGGCAGCUCACAAAACUAUAACUGACGCUGAGGCUCGAAAGCGUGGGGAUCAAACAGG